AGAACGAACGCUGGCGGCAGGCCUCAAACAUGCAAGUCUAGGGGGUGUAGCAAUACAUCACCGGCGGACGGGUGCGUAACACGUGGGAAUAUACCUUUUGGUUCGGAACAACGCAGGGAAACUUGCGCUAAUACCGAAUGUGCCCUUACGGGGAAAGAUUUAUCGCCAAAAGGAUUAGCCCGCGUAGGAUUAGCUAGUUGGUGAGGUAAUAGCUCACCAAGGCUCCGAUCCUUAGCUGUUCUGAGAGGAAGAUCAGCCACACUGGGACUGAGACACGGCCCAGACUCCUACGGGAGGCAGCAGUUGGGAAUCUUGGACAAUGGGGGAAACCCUGAUCCAGCCAUGCCGCGUGAGUGAUGAAGGCCUUGGGUUGUAAAACUCUUUCGACGGGACGAUAAUGACGGUACCCGUAGAAGAAGCUCCGGCUAACUUCGUGCCAGCAGCCGC
rnacentral:rRNA from 1 species